AAAAGAAUAUUUUCUUCUCUGAAUGAUA
rnacentral:piRNA from 1 species